UACGGAGGGGGCUAGCGUUGUUCGGAAUUAUUGGGCGUAAAGCGCGCGCAGGCGGUCCUUUAAGUCUGAUGUGAAAGCCCACGGCUCAACCGUGGAGGGUCAUUGGAAACUGGGGGACUUGAGUACAGAAGAGGAAAGCGGAAUUCCACGUGUAGCGGUGAAAUGCGUAGAGAUGUGGAGGAACACCAGUGGCGAAGGCGGCUUUCUGGUCUGUAACUGACGCUGAGGCGCGAAAGCGUGGGGAGCAAACAGG
rnacentral:rRNA from 1 species